rnacentral:lncRNA from 1 species
AGGGAGGAGCUUCUUGCUGCCCACACAUUUUGGCUAGCCUUUAUUUGCUGGCAGAAAGGGUACAGAGCUUGGUGUGGCCUUGAUUUCCUUGCAGUGAGUCCUGGCUCACAGAGCAGAAUCAUAUGCAUGGCACCAAGAGUGUCUGAAAAAAAUGUGCGCCAGGAUAUGGGGUGCCCUUCUCCCACUUUGCCCAGCUCAAGGGCACAGGGUACCCAGGACUCCAGAAGAACGCUCAAACAAAGAAACAAAAAGUCCCAGACUUACUUACAAAAGUAAGUAAGAUUGGUGGAAAAGAUAAACAUCUAAGACCUUUCUGGCUCGCUCCUCGUCUGUGUGGGUGGCUUCAGCUGGGGCACACUGGGGACAAGAGGCAGUGCUGUUCGUAGUAGUCAGCGAGACCGGCAUAACCUGGGACACAUGAUUGUUCUUGUUCCUGUGGCCUCUGGCUAUACUAGAAGGUGACGUUAUUUUAAGGAACAGGUCAAAGGAAAUCAUCUUGUAUAAAGGGAUUGAAAGCCACGGAUGCUGACCUGGGAAGACAGCUCAGUUGCUAAGACCCUUGCCUCACAAGUAUUAGGACCUGAGUUCAGCCCCUAGCACCGAGGAGGUAAAGAGCUGGGCACAGGGGCAUGCACUUGCGAUCUCAAGCUGAAGAGGCUGAGGCAGGCAAACUCUUGGAGAUCACUGGCCAGCCAGGUUAUGCGAACUGAUGAGAUCCAGUCCUAGACAGAAAUCCUGUCUCAAAACCAACCAAUCAACCAACCAACAGACAACUAACUAAUGAGGUGAAUGGGUCCUCAGGUUGGGCGCUGAAGGCUGAUCUCUGACCUCCACACUUACAUGUGCACCUCCCACACGUAUGAACAUGCACACCAACUCCAAAACACAAGUACAACUCUAAAGAGACGGCUGGGGUAAAUUGUUUAAUAAAAUGGCCGUUGGG